rnacentral:rRNA from 1 species
UACGAAGGGGGCUAGCGUUGCUCGGAAUUACUGGGCGUAAAGCGCACGUAGGCGGCUUUGCAAGUUAGAGGUGAAAGCCCAGGGCUUAACCCUGGAAUUGCCUUUAAGACUGCAUCGCUAGAAUCGUGGAGAGGUGAGUGGAAUUCCGAGUGUAGAGGUGAAAUUCGUAGAUAUCCGCAGGAACAUCCGAGGCGAAAGCGGCUUGCUGGAUCGCAACUGACGCUGAGGGACGAAAGCUAGGGGAGCAAACAGG